GUCCUUGUCGAUUAGGGGUUAAAUCACCACGUUGUGGUAAUCUCAAACCGUGGAGCCGGAGGUUCGAUUCCUCCCUGGGACA
rnacentral:tRNA from 1 species